CGCCGGCUGGAGGCCCCGCCCUGGCCGGGCAGCCGGCUGGCCCGAGCGUGGUCCGACCGCUUCUUUAAGGCUGCCCUCAUCGAGGUUAAGCGGGAGGCGGUUCAGCUAGGGAGGAAGGCAGGAGACAUGAUCGCAGCUCUGGGGCAUGGUUACAUUACUCAUCUUUUAUGGUGCUGCACGUAGCGAGGUUAUGACUAACAAAGGAUCAUCUUGUAAAGAGGCCUGACUGGAUUCUUGUUUUUAGUUUUCUAUAACUAGCAAAAUAGAUGUAUAACCUCUUGGCAAGUAAAUAGUAGAUGUCUUUGGUUGUUGCUUCACUCUUAAUGGUAAACUCUGGAGUUGAGAAUUCUGAAAUAAAACACUCCAGUUUUGUGGGGUUCUUUGAAAUCCAAACCCACAUUUGAAUAUAGUAGGAUCUGUGUCUGUAAUGGACCAAACUAGAACCCCAAUUGCUACGUCCUGAUCCUGCAAAUACUGAAGCUUGUUCACAACUUGACUCAUCUACGAAGUCCAAUUGACUUCAGCAGAACUACUCACGGAAGUAGUGUUAUGCAUGCACUUAAAAUUUUGCAGAAUUAAGAUUGUAUACUCUUUUGGGGGCAGAGAUGUGGGAUAUGUUGACCAGAGAGUAGAAGAGCUAUUAGAGAUGGGACAAAGACCACAAGGAAGACCCCGAAAAAGGUGGUUUGAGAUGCUGAAGGAAGAUAUGAAGAAGGUUGGUGUCAGCUUGGAAGACACACUUGACAAAAAUAUUUGGAAACACAGAACAAGAGCUGCCAACCCCAAAUGAUGGGAAAAGACAAAGGUGAAGAGACUCUUUGGGCAGGGACUGUUUCUUACUAAUGAUGUGUAUGUACGGUGCCUAACGCGAUGGGGCCCUGACCUGGGUUGGGGCUUCUAGGUGCUAGUACAAUAAUUACUGGUAUAAUUAAUUAUCUGAAACAAAUUUGGCACCAUGCCAUAGACUUCAUAUAACUAGUGAUUAUUGCUGAGAGUUUCUCGGUUGCUUUGAUUUCAGGGCAUUUCCUUCCAAAAAUAAUGUAUAUAUGUCAAGUUUUAAUCGUAAACUCAAGAAUGUCCCCUUAAAAUCGAUGUUUUAAACAUGAGAAAGAUUACCAAAAUAUCACCACUAAACUUGUGUAAAUAAAUGGAUCCAUGGAGAGGUAAACACAUAAAUAUGUAGGUACCCUGUGCUAAACAUGGAUUCCUGGGAUGUACCUCACCUCUGUAGCACUCCUUUCACUGCCUGUGAGUUGUUUGUGGAAGAAUAACCGGGGCAGCUGUCCCCAUGCUCCUGUGUUUGUAAUAUGGAUGAACUAUCAUACACUUCAGCCAGAGACCUAUAAUUAAACAGUAUGUACAAUGAAGAAAUUAUCUACUGUACUACAGCAACAAUUCAU